UACGGAGGGUGCAAGCGUUAUCCGGAUUCACUGGGCGUAAAGGGUGCGUAGGCGGGUCUUUAAGUCAGGGGUGAAAUCCUGGAGCUCAACUCCAGAACUGCCUUUGAUACUGAGGAUCUUGAGUACGGGAGAGGUGAGUGGAACUGCGAGUGUAGGGGUGAAAUUCGUAGAUAUUCGCAAGAACACCAGUGGCGAAGGCGGCUCACUGGCCCGUUACUGACGCUGAGGCACGAAAGCGUGGGGAGCAAACAGG
rnacentral:rRNA from 1 species